rnacentral:rRNA from 1 species
UACAGAGGGUGCGAGCGUUGUUCGGAAUUAUUGGGCGUAAAGGGCGCGUAGGCGGUGCGGUAAGUCACCUGUGAAAUCUCCUGGCUCAACUGGGAGCUUGCAGGCGAAACUGCCGUGCUGGAGUGUGGGAGAGGUGCGUGGAAUUCCCGGUGUAGGCGGUGAAAUGCGUAGAGAUCGGGAAGAACAUCAGUGGGCGAAGGCGGCCUGCUGGGCUGUUGCUGACGCUGAGG